UGUUCUUUCGUCGUAGCUGGUGCCGGUUUAAAAGCCGGAGAAUAGGGAAUUACGUGAAAAUCGUAAACUGUACCCGCAACUGUACAACGGUAAGCUGCCAAUAACACUCCAUGGCCAUCAUGGAUUGUCGAAAGCAGUCGUUUCAGGUCACUGCACUCUUUUCCUCCCUGGAAAACUGCGGGAAGGCCUGCAACAGUAUGAAGCCGUUAUAGUCAGGAGACCUGCCAGUUAUUUUUGCAUUAC
rnacentral:ncRNA from 2 species